GCUAUUCGCCAUGCCCCCAUCCUCAAAAAUUCCGAGAACCACGAAUUGAAUGUGGUCUCGGGCUUCUUUGAGGAUAAGGGCUUCGGGUCAGC
rnacentral:pre_miRNA from 1 species